rnacentral:rRNA from 1 species
UACGUAGGGGCUAGCGUUGUCCGGAUUCAUUGGGCGUAAAGGGUGCGUAGGUGGCGCCGUAAGUCGGGUGUGAAAUUUCGAGGCUUAACUUCGAAACUGCAUUCGAUACUGCCGUGCUUGAGGACUGGAGAGGAGACUGGAAUUUACGGUGUAGCGGUGAAAUGCGUAGAUAUCGUAAGGAAGACCAGUGGCGAAGGCGGGUCUCUGGACAGUUCCUGACGCUGGAGGCACGAAGGCCAGGGGAGCAAACGGG